rnacentral:rRNA from 1 species
CACAAUGGCGAGUUACACCGUUGUAGCGUUUCAAGCAUAUUUCAGCGUUGUGUUUCUCCGGAAGAAGGCCAAGCGAUCCUCCGGGAAAUUAAUGAAGGGGAUUGUGGUCAUCAUGCCGGUUCAAAGUCCCUAGUUGCAAAAGCUUUUCGUCAUGGGUUUUACUGGUUGACAGCUCAUGCUGGUGCGGAGGAUCUGGUAAAGCGAUGUGAUGCUUGUCAAAAAAUUUCCCGCAGAGCUCAUGUUCCGGCUCAGGAGCUACGGAUGAUUCCAAUCACUUGGCCUUUUGCUACUUGGGGGCUCGAUAUGGUGGGGCCUUUUAAGCGUUCCUGGGACAAGAAAACCCACCUGUUGGUGGCAGUUGAUAAAUUCACCAAGUGG